UACGGAGGGGAGCUAGCGUUGUUCGGAAUUACUGGGCGUAAAGCGCACGUAGGCGGCUUUGUAAGUUAGAGGUGAAAGCCCGGGGCUCAACCCCGGAAUUGCCUUUAAGACUGCAUCGCUUGAAUCCGGGAGAGGUGAGUGGAAUUCCGAGUGUAGAGGUGAAAUUCGUAGAUAUUCGGAAGAACACCAGUGGCGAAGGCGGCUCACUGGACCGGUAUUGACGCUGAGGUGCGAAAGGCGUGGGGAGCAAACAGG
rnacentral:rRNA from 1 species